GACGAACGCUGGCGGCGUGCCUAAUACAUGCAAGUAGAACGCUGAAGGAGGAGCUUGCUUCUCUGGAUGAAUUGCGAACGGGUGAGUAACGCGUAGGUAACCUGCCUGGUAGCGGGGGAUAACUUUUGGAAACGAUAGCUAAUACCGCAUAACAGUAGAUAUCGCAUGAUAUCUACUUGAAAGGUGCAAUUGCAUCACUACCAGAUGGACCUGCGUUGUAUUAGCUAGUUGGUGAGGUAAAGGCUCACCAAGGCGACGAUACAUAGCCGACCGGAGAGGGGGGUCGGCCACACUGGGACGGAGACACGGCCCAGAGUCCUACGGGAGGCAGCAGUAGGGAAUCGUCGGCAAUGGACGGAAGACUGACCGAGCAACGCGGCGUGAGUGAAGAAGGUUUUCGGAUCGUAAAGCUCUGUUGUAAGAGAAGAACGAGUGUGAGAGUGGAAAGUUCACACUGUGACGGUAUCUUACCAGAAAGGGACGGCUAACUACGUG
rnacentral:rRNA from 1 species